ACCAAACAAGUAUGGAGAUCUUACUUGUGGAACAACUGGUGAAUAUCUAGAUCAUUCUCCCGAAGCUUUGGGCCUGUGCUAUACCAACCUACGAUGUGCUCCUUAGCUGAAGCAUGUCCACAAAUUCAUGUAAACAAACAAUUCUCAACAUGGAAAGAGCACAAAAUGCAUUAGAAAUAGAGAAAUUACCAUUUAUCCUCUUAAACAUUGAAAACAUCGACUCAUGGUAGUUGUGAUCAAGAAACCAUAUGCUUGGAUCUUUCUCGUCUUCUUCAAAGGGCACUGAAACGAAGAGAGUAUAGCAUAUAAAGGUAAUUGGUAGUCCAAAGAUAGAAAACUCGCCAGAGUACCCAUCAGAACAAUAACCACCUUACUGGACUCGUUUAGUUUAGAUACAUGGGUAAACUAAUAACAUAGUGUAGAGGAAAUUGCAGAUGCCUAGAAUGGAAAGAAAUGAAAACUAUGGCUAAAAAACACAAUGGUUCGACCGGAAGUCGACACAAUCUUAAGUCAGAUGGAUAAGACCAAUUUUACCAUGAAAUUCAAGGUUUUACACAUUGUGCGACUAAAUUAUUGAAAACUUCUGAUGUCAAGUCCUUCAAAGCAGCAAUUCCCAAUUACAUGACUCAAUCGAGUGUAGGUUACACAACGAAUUUUCAGUGUCAUAAGAACCAUGAAAGAGUAACGACCACAGCAAGUGGGAACGGCAGCCAACUGAAGGCCUGAAUCCUAAUCAAUUCAUAAUGAGGGGCAACCUAAAAGAUUUUGCAUGACAGAAAGAAAUCCUCUCUCUUAUAAAAAUGACCCAAAGCACAAACAAUCACUUCUUUUAAUCCCUUUUUCGUGAAUCAGGACAUCCACUAGAAAGGCACAUUUCGAGUCCUCGCAGCUAAUUCUGAUUUAUGCUCAACUACUGUCAAUUUCAGAGAAGUACCAAAUAAAAUGCCCAAAUUCCAUGCAUCAUUAUCGUAAAARUCGCGUAGUUUCAGCUAUGAAYCCGAAUCAAACGACAGAAAAAGAUUCAGAUCCAAACACGAUACAGUAAGUUUAUGACAAGAGGCGAGAGAGAAAACAGUAUGAAAGGAGAAUAAGGACCUGCAUAGCUAUUGCUGACGUCGACGGUGCCCUUGAAAGAGCUACCAAGUAGAACUCCUACGACUCGUUUGCGGGAUUCCUUAGCAACUCGGUUGUAGUUAUCGACGAUGCUGAGCAAAACCAGAGGGUGGACUACGACCUUCUCGACUGGCCUCGAUGAUAUUUGCUGCGUCUUGAUCACAUCCAUGGCGAAAAUUCCUGCAGUGUCUCGGAGCUCARUCGAAUUCGCGAUUCUCGGCUAAAGCUAAACCCACUAAGAAAUAAAAUGGAAGGAGCAGCUGAUUAAGCCCUUUUUCUUGGGGGUUUUCUUGGCAGAAAAGCAAGCCUCCUCAGCGAUGAGCGACCCUCUCGGCCCAAAUAAACCGAGAUUCAACCCGGGCUUUUGUAGUCCGGCUCGGUUAUCGAGUUCGGAAGAAAAACCGCUAUUUUUUUCAUUCUAACUGUUCGAGUGUUUUUUUUAGUAGAACAAGUGUGGUGUUGAGAUGGAAAAGAUUAGAGAACAAAUAGUGUCAUCAAUUUAUCAACCGAGGAAACUGAAAUUGGUAUUGCUAAUUUUUUCUUUUUUAUUUUAAAGUUUGACYAUGGUAAAGAUGAGAUCAUGUCAACUAAUUUGGARUCUUGUUUUUAUUAAGUGUUAAAAGAAAUCACAUUCAAAAUAUUAAUGGAUAUUURCUYAAAUAGUAUUUUUGAAACGUUUAURGARGAUAGAGUAGUAUUGAAACUUUUUAAAUAAUAUAAGUAUUUCUUAAACAAAAGUAAAGUUGAAGGGUAUGUUUGUAAUUUAGUCUAAAAACUUUAAACUGAGGAGUUAAGACAUUGUCUCACAUAUCAUAAAGYCAAUCUUCACUAAGGAUGGCAACGGGCGGGGCGAGGUCGGUGGGUCAUCCCCAUCCCCACCCCCGUCCCCGAAAUUUUGGGGGCGGUGAUGAGUCAGGGAUUCCCCGAUCGGUACAUUUUUUUAAUUUUUUAAAUUAAUUUUUGUUAUUAUUAGUAUAARAAUUGAAUAAGAAGUGGCUAAAUGGGUAUUAGUUUGAGUUUUUUUUUUUAACAAAAGUAUUUAUAAAAUUAAUAUAUAUUAAUAUUAUUAUAUAAAAAAAUAGAAAAAGUAAUUAAAAAAAUUAAACAGGCCGGGGACGGGGGGACGGGGCAGGGGGACUGAUCCCCAUCCCCGGUUUGACCCUAUCCCCGGUCAAACUGRAGAAUCCCCAACCUGGGUCGAGUACCCGUUGGGGUCUGAUCUUGCAGGUAUUUUUGUCAUCCYUAAUCUUCACCCACCUCUUUGUGGAAUUAAAGAAAUGUUAAAUUACAAGUUUAGUCCCUCAACAUUGAAGAUUAUGUCUAUUCGAUUCGACAUUGUUAAAAUUUACAUAUUUAUUGGUUAAAAAAAUUUACAUAUUUAUGCGACACUUUGAGGCCUAUUAAAUAUUUUUAAAUGUAUUAUCCUAUUACAUACAAAAUAAAAAAUUUGAAGACCUAUUAAAUGUAAUUUCAAGAGCUCACGUCGAGAGGAAGGUUUAGCAUCUUGAUCUCGGCUCUUUGCGACAUGGGGAUUGUUAUGUUCCAAGAGUUGGGUUGUUCGCCCAUUAAAACAGUACGUGAGUUUGGUUCAGAACGUCGUGAGACAAUUCGGUCCAUAUCCAGUAUUGGGCAUUAGAACAUUGAGAGGACCUUUCACUAGUAUGAGAUGACCAGGAAGGACGCACCUCUGGUGUACCAGCUAUCGUGCCCAUGAUAAACUUCGGGUAGCCAAGUGCGGAGCGGAUAACUGCUCAAAGCAUCCAAGUAGUAAGCCCACCCUAUGAUGAGUGCUCUCCUAUUCCGACUUCUCCAAAGCUUUCGAUAGCACAGCCGAGACARCGAUGGAUUCUCUAUCCCAGUAAAUUAUAGACCACUUCAAAUCUGCGUUUUCGAGAGGGAUAAUCAACUCCGCAUUAAAGAGAAGUUKAUGGCA
rnacentral:rRNA from 1 species